AAGGAGCUUGCUCCUUUGACGUUAGCGGCGGACGGGUGAGUAACACGUGGGUAACCUACCUAUAAGACUGGGAUAACUUCGGGAAACCGGAGCUAAUACCGGAUAAUAUUUCGAACCGCAUGGUUCGAUAGUGAAAGAUGGUUUUGCUAUCACUUAUAGAUGGACCCGCGCCGUAUUAGCUAGUUGGUAAGGUAACGGCUUACCAAGGCGACGAUACGUAGCCGACCUGAGAGGGUGAUCGGCCACACUGGAACUGAGACACGGUCCAGACUCCUACGGGAGGCAGCAGUAGGGAAUCUUCCGCAAUGGGCGAAAGCCUGACGGAGCAACGCCGCGUGAGUGAUGAAGGUCUUCGGAUCGUAAAACUCUGUUAUUAGGGAAGAACAUACGUGUAAGUAACUGUGCACGUCUUGACGGUACCUAAUCAGAAAGCCACGGCUAACUACGUGCCAGCAGCCGCGGUAAUACGUAGGUGGCAAGCGUUAUCCGGAAUUAUUGGGCGUAAAGCGCGCGUAGGCGGUUUUUUAAGUCUGAUGUGAAAGCCCACGGCUCAACCGUGGAGGGUCAUUGGAAACUGGAAAACUUGAGUGCAGAAGAGGAAAGUGGAAUUCCAUGUGUAGCGGUGAAAUGCGCAGAGAUAUGGAGGAACACCAGUGGCGAAGGCGACUUUCUGGUCUGCAACUGACGCUGAUGUGCGAAAGCGUGGGGAUCAAACAGGAUUAGAUACCCUGGUAGUCCACGCCGUAAACGAUGAGUGCUAAGUGUUAGGGG
rnacentral:rRNA from 1 species